rnacentral:rRNA from 1 species
UGCAAGUCGAACGAGGUCCAUGGAGCUUGCUCCGGAAGACCUAGUGGCGAACGGGUGCGUAACACGUGAGAAAUCUGCCCCGAACUCUGGGAUAACAGUUGGAAACGACUGCUAAUACCGGAUGCCUUCACAUGACCGCAUGGUCGAGUGAAGAAAGAUUUAUCGGUUUGGGAGGAUCUCGCGGCCUAUCAGCUAGUUGGAGAGGUAACGGCUCACCAAGGCAUCGACGGGUAGCUGGUCUGAGAGGAUGAUCAGCCACACUGGAACUGAGACACGGUCCAGACUCCUACGGGAGGCAGCAGUGGGGAAUCUUGCACAAUGGGCGCAAGCCUGAUGCAGCGAUGCCGCGUGCGGGAAGAAGGCCCUAGGGUUGUAAACCGCUUUCAGUAGGGAAGAAAAUGACGGUACCUACAGAAGAAGGUGCGGCCAACUACGUGCCAGCAGCCGCGGUGACACGUAGGCACCAAGCGUUAUCCGGAUUUAUUGGGCGUAAAGAGCUCGUAGGCGGUUUGGUAAGUCGGGUGUGAAAACUCUGGGCUCAACCCAGAGAGGCCACUCGAUACUGCUAUGACUAGAGUACGGUAGGGGAGCGGGGGAAUUCCUGGGUGUAGCGGUGAAAUGCGCAGAUAUCAGGAGGAACACCAGUGGCGAAGGCGCCGCUCUGGGCCGUAACUGACGCUGAGGAGCGAAAGCAUGGGUAGCAAACAGGAUUAGAUACCCUGGUAGUCCAUGCCGUAAA